rnacentral:ncRNA from 1 species
CGGUGAAGUGUUCGGAUCGCGGCGACGGGGGCGGUUCGCCGCCCCCGACGUCGCGAGAAGUCCAUUGAACCUUAUCAUUUAGAGGAAGGAAAAGUCGUAACAAGGUUUCCGUAGGUGAACCUGCGGAAGGAUCAUUG